ensembl:lncRNA
UCUCUCACAAACAUCUGCCUCAUUCUCUCAAAACGAUCAGCCUCAUUCUCCUCGACAAAACAUCAGCCCAUUCUCUCACAAAACAUCAGCCUAUUCUCUCACAAAACAUCAGCCUCUUCUCUCACAACAUCAGCCUGCAUCUCUCACAAACAAUCAGCCCUCAUUCUCGACUCACAAACAUCCGCCCUCCAUUCUCUCACAAACAUGUGCCUCAUUCUCUCAACAUAACAUCAGCCUACAUUCUCCACAAACCAUCUGCCCUCAUUCUGCACCAAACAUCGCUGCCUUAUUCUCUCACAAACAAUCAGCCUCAUUCUCUCACCACAUUCUCCUCAUUCUCACAACACAUUCCUGCCUCAUUCUCUCACAAACAUCAGCCUCAUUUCUCACACAAACAUCAGCCUCAUUCUCACACAAACAUCAGCCUCAUUCUCUCACAAACAUCAGCCUCAUUCUCACACAAACAUCUGCCCCAUUCUCACCACAAAACAUCUGCCCCUCCAUUCUCCACACAACAUCUGCCCUCCUCAUUCUCACCACAAACGAU